AACGAACGCUGGCGGCAUGCCUAACACAUGCAAGUCGAACGAGACCUUCGGGUCUAGUGGCGCACGGGUGCGUAACGCGUGGGAACCUGCCCUUAGGUUCGGAAUAACUCCCCGAAAGGGGUGCUAAUACCGGAUAAUGUCUUCGGACCAAAGAUUUAUCGCCUUUGGAUGGGCCCGCGUUGGAUUAGCUAGUUGGUAGGGUAAAAGCCUACCAAGGCGACGAUCCAUAGCUGGUCUGAGAGGAUGAUCAGCCACACUGGGACUGAGACACGGCCCAGACUCCUACGGGAGGCAGCAGUGGGGAAUAUUGGACAGUGGGCGAAAGCCUGAUCCAGCAAUGCCGCGAGAGUGAUGAAGGCCUUAGGGUUGUAAAGCUCUUUUACCCGGGAUGAUAAUGACAGUACCGGGAGAAUAAGCUCCGGCUAACUCCGU
rnacentral:rRNA from 1 species